AUUGAUAACAUUGAGUGAGUGGCGGACGGGUGGAGUAACAACGUGGGUAAACCUGCCCUAAAGUGGGGGAGUAACAUUUGGAAACAGGUGCUAAUACCGCAUAAAACCUAAGCACCGCAUGAUGCAAGGUUGAAAGAUGGCUUCGGCUAUCACUUUUGGAUGGUCCCGCGGCGUAUUAGCUAGAUGGUGAGGUAACGGCUCACCAUGGCAAUGAUACGUAGCCGACCUGAGAGGGUAAUCGGCCACAUUGGGACUGAGACACGGCCCAAACUCC
rnacentral:rRNA from 1 species